GACGAACGCUGGCGGCGUGCUUAACACAUGCAAGUCGAACGGAAAGGCCCUGCUUUUGUGGGGUGCUCGAGUGGCGAACGGGUGCGUAACACGUGAGUAACCUGCUCUUGACUUUGGGAUAACUUCAGGAAACUGGGGCUAAUACCGGAUAGGAGCUCCUGCUGCAGGGAGGGGGUUGGAAAGUUUCGGCGGUUGGGGAUGGACUCGCGGCUUAUCAGCUUGUUGGUGGGGUAGUGGCUGACCAAGGCUUUGACGGGUAGCCGGCCUGAGAGGGUGACCGGCCACAUUGGGACUGCGGUACGGCCCAGUGUCCUACGGGGGACAGCAGUGGGAAAUAUUGCCCAAUGGGCGGAAGCCUGUUGCAGCAGCGCCCCGUGCGGGAUGACGGCCUUCGGGUUGUGAACCGCUUUCGCCUGUGACGAAGCGUGAGUGACGGUAAUGGGUAAAGAAGCACCGGCUAACUACGUG
rnacentral:rRNA from 1 species